UACGAAGGGGGCGAGCGUUGUUCGGAUUUACUGGGCGUAAAGGGCGCGCAGGCGGCUCAUUUUGUCAGGCGUGAAAGCCCCGGGCUUAACCUGGGAACUGCGUUUGAUACGGAUGGGCUAGAGUUCGGGAGAGGAGAGUGGAAUUCCCAGUGUAGAGGUGAAAUUCGUAGAUAUUCGCAAGAACACCAGUGGCGAAGGCGGCUCACUGGCCCGAUACUGACGCUGAGGCGCGAAAGCGUGGGGAGCGAUCCGG
rnacentral:rRNA from 1 species